UGGCACCAUUCAAGCAAUGACAUUUUGAGAAUUAAAACAUAGCCAAGUCUGAAAGCAGGACACACCAUCACUAACUCAGGAGAACCUUGACAUGAAACAAUGCCCCCCUGCCUUUCCUCUUGCUUCUCUUUGCCUGUUUGUUUAAUCAAAUUACGCUACAGCCAUCCUACAACUGCACAGUGAUUUCUGAAAGGACUCCACUGGAGUUCAUUCCAUUUGCAUCAGUCAAAGAAGCUGUCUUUCCCUUCAAAUUGCCUUCCCUAUAGCCUUCAAAAUUGGAACAAGGGAUGGCUUUUGUCUUCCAGCCUUACCAGGAAGAUGAAAGUGAAACAGUUCCCUUCUCUCUGCAGCCGGUCUGCACACGAUGAUCUGCCCAGGAAACUGAAGAGGAGAUUAGAACACAGACAUGACCAUGUAAGGACACAGGGAGAAGGCGGCCGUCUGUAAGCCAAGGAGGGAGGCUCAGAAGGAACGAACCCUGCUCACACCUGGAUCCCAGACUUCUAGCUUCCAGGACGGAGAAAAUAAAUGUUGUUGAAGCCGCCUACCCUAUGGUACUUUAUUAUGGAAGCCCUAGCACACUAAUACAUUAAGAAUAAGGAAGAAAUGGUUUCACAAAUUAUAUUGCAUCAAUGUGAACUCUCUUUGGGCACAAACACAGGAUAAACAUCUGUCAGAUAGGAUUAAAGUGCCUGUGUGCCACUGAGGAAUGGGAUGAAGAGAGAAGGAAGAUAAUAAGAAGAGAAGGCAAGAAGAAGAAGAAGAAUCAAACAGACAGAAAUGGAACUUCCCUCAAAGGUGGUGCAGACCUGCCUGGGGCCCCUGAGAGCAGGAAGGCUUUCCUCCUGAAUCCAGCAGAGCUCUUCUCACCACGUGGCCAGAGUCUGCCUUCUGCAUGAAUGUCAUUGCCUAAGUGACUUCGAGAUGCAGAUGGAGCGUGGUUUCACCCUCAGUCUCUCCUCCUCUGGUUCACGCCCAUGUCUGAUUCCUGGGCAUCGCUUUGCCUCAGAAAGCCACCUCCAGUCUUUCCCACCCACUUCCAAUUUGCCCUUGCCCCUUCCUCCAAGCCAAGGCAGUGGUUGUAUAAACAUAGCUGUAUGUACAACACUCAGCUUUUACACUGGUCUCCAUUGAAUGAGUAAUCGCAUUACCAACCUUCUAAGCAAGUCGGCUCCCUCAGGACUGCCGUCUUCCAGCCCUCGUAGUACGAAAAUGAUUCAUUAGUCCCUUCAUCACAAUAACAUGAGUCACAUGUUAUGAAAAGCUAGGAGGAUGUAUUUUGUGUACACUGAAAUCUAAGGUUUGCAAAUUUCUGCAAUUUAACUUUAUUGAGGAGGGAGUGGGGUAGAAAUGAAUUCCACAUUUUUUCUAAGUACGAAAACCCACAUCAGGCAACAUCUGCUUAAGUCAGUCUCCAAGGACUCAAUGUAAACGGUUGUUGAUAUAAAUAGAUGUGUUUUUAAGCAAAGACAGAUGUCCCAGCCCCAAAUGUUAAGAAAACAAUUAAGUUCAAAGACAUGUUGGUUUUCAUUUCUUUCCCAAUAGGUGAAUCUUCACUGGGCUAUGACAAUGAGGGGUGGAAGAGAGAACACUGUGUUUCCCUGUGGAAAGCAAUUCCUGACUAUGCAGCCAGCUCUACUCCAGGGAAGAGAAGGCUCAGUCUCUCCCUUCAAAGAGAAGAAAUGAAUGCAGACAAUUUCAAAUUUGAAGCUGAUGAGACUUUAACCUGCCAAAAAAUCAGAGUCUUGGACUCAGAAGGUCUUUCAACAGAGUCAUGAAAUCAGUCAUUCUUCAUGUGUGUGUAGUGUGAGCUCUCCUUAAGUGCCACAAAACACAUCCUUGCCCAUAUUGGUCCCCAAGAACCCCAGCGUGGAUGACAGUGCAUCACACAGAUGAAACUGUCUGUUUCUGGAUGCUGGCAGUCAUUCAGAAACAUUUGCUGAGCACCUCGUACCUGCUGAAUGAACCCACGUGAAGGGGAGCCAGGAGUGCGGAUCAUUAAAAAGCCUGUACUUUCUCAGUCCCCAUUUGACACCACAGAGAGAAAAUGCAUGCUCCUGAUUUGGGUAGAUCUAGAAUGUUCUUAUGAAUAUGUCUUUGCCCGGCACAGUGACUCACUGGCGUCCCUUUCAGGACUUUCUCCCGCCUGAUAACAUCUAAAUGACUCAUGCCUACACCACCUGGAGAGCUCAGGGAAGGCACGGUUUGUUCAGGCCACCCUCACUCCAAGGGCCAGCCCUUUUUUGGAAUAGAAACUAAAAGUUGGUAGCUUCCAUUUGUAGUUCCAUCUAACAGAAGAGCCGACCCACUCACAUUAGCUGGCUCACGACUAAGGCAACCAAUGCCUCCCAGAACAUAGACUCAACUGGCAACCCCGGCACUGAAGGUCAAGGUGAGUCAAAGACACUCAUGCAGAAGGGUGGAUGCUCUUCCAAGUGUGACUGGCUGGCCUGCACGGCUCACUGCCUCCCCUCCUCCCGUCAAGAUGCAGCUUCAGUUUAAACCACCUUCGUUCCAUUCAUCAAAGAGGAAUAUUUACUGUUAUUGUAAUGACUCUUCUCACAGUACACAAGGCUACACCUGAAACACACAGGCCUUUCAGAAAGCACAAAGGAGCAUUGUGCAAGCCCCUGCCCAGUGAGAUGGAUGGGGGCGUAGACACGCCAGUUAACAGCCGGGCUUUGCAGGCCAGCAAGACUUAUCUGUGGCCGCACCAUGGCCACUGAGCUUGUACCUUUCUUCUUUUAAAAAUUGCUCCUUCAUUAUAAGCAGAGUUAAAUACCUGCACAUGUGAUUUGUGUUGAAAUAAUAAAGCAACAAACACACAUCAAGCUGAGGAGAGAAUCUUGGCUAAGGUAGGAAGUCGUGGGUCUGGUCUCAGUCUGUGCUGCUGACCAACUGUAAGAACUCAGAACUCACUGUCCACUCAGGACCACAGUGUCUCAUCUGAAAGGACGAGGAGACUGGAACACACCAGAGCCAUGGUUCUCAAUGUGUGGUCCAGAGGCCCUCGGGGGUCCCUGAGCCUCUUUCUGGGGAUCUGUGAGGUCAAAACUACUUUCACAAGUAUGGUUUGCCUUUUUCACUCUCACUCUCUCAUGCUUGAACAAUGGAAUCUUCUAAAGGCUUCCUGACACGUGAUGCUACAAUGGAUGGAAUCCAGAGGUGGAUAGGAGAAGCCAGCUGCCUUCUAUUAAACCAGAAAUGAAGAACAUUUGCAGAAAUGUACAACAAUGCCAUGCUUCCCAUUAAUUAUUUUGUUCUUGCUUUAGAAUAUGUCACUUUUCAUUGAAAAAUGUUACUCAUGAUUUUAUGUAAAAGGUUUAUUGUUGUUACUUUUAAAUACAUAUUUUAAGUGUUUUUUAGUUUUGAUUUCUAAUAUGGCAAAAAUUGGUAAAAUCACAUACACAAGGGCUUUUGGGGAUCCUCAAAACUUUUUAAGAGUGUAAAGGGAUCCAGAGACCAAAAGUUUGAUAACCACUAACCAAAAACUUUGACAACCAUCAUCUUGAAGGGUCCUUGGACUUUCUGGAAUUUGGAUCUCCCUUGCCUUGUUCAGUUUUCUCUCUUUUUAGCCAUCUCGUACUUACUGCCAUUUCAGUUCCUAUGUACCUGACUUAUUAAUUAUGCUUAUUGUUUACCAUGUGUGUUCCCCUCCCAUAUAAACUCCAUGAGGACUGAGAUAUUUGUCCAUGAUGUUCAUCAGUGCAUCCCAGGCUGCCUAGAACUGGGCCUGGCCCUUAGCAGGCACUUGUUUUUGGAUGGGAGGGAGGAGAAGGGAGGGGAGAGGGCAAGUUCUUUCAGUGUCUGUAUAAUGGACAGAGCAAGGUGUACCACCUCGGUGUGAUAGAAGAGAUGGAGACAGGAGAAAGGAAGCUCUGCACAGGAUCACGUGGUAGGUGGCAAAGUCAGGGCUCCAUCACAGCUUCUGUUGUCACAUGACUCUGUUAUCUGACCCUUUAAGGCAGCCCCUUCUGCUCCAACAGAGCUUCAGGGUAACUGAGUGCCCCGCAAUUGGUGUUAGC
rnacentral:lncRNA from 10 species